AUUGAACGCUGGCGGCAGGCUUAACACAUGCAAGUCGAACGAGCGGCGGACGGGUGAGUAAUGUCUGGGAAACUGCCUGAUGGAGGGGGAUAACUACUGGAAACGGUAGCUAAUACCGCUUACCAUCAGAUGGGCCCAGAUGGGAUUAGCUAGUAGGUGGGGUAAUGGAUCACCUAGGCGACGAUCCCUAGCUGGUCUGAGAGGAUGACCAGCCAAACUGGAACUUGUCCACGGUCCAGACUCGUACGGGAGGCAGCAGUGGGGAAUAUUGCACAAUGGGCGAAAGCCUGAUGCAGCCAGGCCGCGUGUGUGAAGAAGGCCUUCGGGUUGUAAAGUACUUUCAGCGAGGAGGCGUUACUCGCAGAAGAAGCACCGGCUAACUCCGUGCCAGCAGCCGCGGUAAUUC
rnacentral:rRNA from 1 species